rnacentral:rRNA from 1 species
UAGGGAAUCUUCGGCAAUGGACGAAAGUCUGACCGAGCAACGCCGCGUGAGUGAAGAAGGUUUUCGGAUCGUAAAACUCUGUUGUUAGAGAAGAACAAGGACGUCAGUAACUGAACGUCCCCUGACGGUAUCUAACCAGAAAGCCACGGCUAACUACGUGCCAGCAGCCGCGGUAAUACGUAGGUGGCAAGCGUUGUCCGGAUUUAUUGGGCGUAAAGCGAGCGCAGGCGGUUUCUUAAGUCUGAUGUGAAAGCCCCCGGCUCAACCGGGGAGGGUCAUGGAAACUGGGAGACUUGAGUGCAGAAGAGGAGAGUGGAAUUCCAUGUGUAGCGGUGAAAUGCGUAGAUAUAUGGAGGAACACCAGUGGCGAAGGCGGCUCUCUGGUCUGUAACUGACGCUGAGGCUCGAAAGCGUGGGGAGCAAACAGG